rnacentral:rRNA from 1 species
AUCGGAACGUGUCCUGUAGUGGGGGAUAGCCCGGCGAAAGCCGGAUUAAUACCGCAUACGCUCUACGGAGGAAAGGGGGGGAUCUUCGGACCUCUCGCUACAGGGGCGGCCGAUGGCAGAUUAGCUAGUUGGUGGGGUAAAGGCCUACCAAGGCGACGAUCUGUAGCUGGUCUGAGAGGACGACCAGCCACACUGGGACUGAGACACGGCCCAGACUCCUACGGGAGGCAGCAGUGGGGAAUUUUGGACAAUGGGCGCAAGCCUGAUCCAGCAAUGCCGCGUGUGUGAAGAAGGCCUUCGGGUUGUAAAGCACUUUUGUCCGGAAAGAAAACUUCUGCCCUAAUACGGCGGGGGGAUGACGGUACCGGAAGAAUAAGCACCGGCUAACUACGUGCCAGCAGCCGCGGUAAUACGUAGGGUGCAAGCGUUAAUCGGAAUUACUGGGCGUAAAGCGUGCGCAGGCGGUUCGCUAAGACAGAUGUGAAAUCCCCGGGCUUAACCUGGGAACUGCAUUUGUGACUGGCGGGCUAGAGUAUGGCAGAGGGGGGUAGAAUUCCACGUGUAGCAGUGAAAUGCGUAGAGAUGUGGAGGAAUACCGAUGGCGAAGGCAGCCCCCUGGGCCAAUACUGACGCUCAG